AUACUUACCUGGCAGGGGAGAUACCAUGAUCACGAGGGUGGUUUUCCCAGGGCAAGGCUUAUCCAUUGCACGCCAGAUGGGCUGACCCCUGCAAUUUCCCCAAAUGUGGGAAACUCGACCUCAUAAUUUGUGGUAGUGGGGGACUGCAUUCGCACUCUCCCCUG
ensembl:snRNA U1 U1 spliceosomal RNA